CCAAAGUCAAAAAACCCCAAAUAGUGAAAACCCUUCCAUCCACUUCACGACGAGCUUCCUUCUUUGCAAUUCCGAGCCACUGUUCAAGUUUGUAAUUACAUAUUAGUCUUACUGCUCUAACUCAAUUUGGUUCUCUAAGAAGGAAUGCAAGCUUCAAGACUAUCUAGAAGAAAUUAAGAAAAUUGAGCAAGUUGAAGAAGAAUGUCCAGGUGACCCUUUGAGUAUUGAUUAGUUUAGAACUUCAGUUAAACAAAAUAGUGUCAACCUAUUCAUGGUGCUUGGCUGCUUGC